rnacentral:rRNA from 1 species
AGGUGGCAAGGCGUUGUCCGGAUUUAUUGGGCGUAAAGCGAGCGCAGGCGGUUUUUUAAGUCUGAUGUGAAAGCCUUACGGCUCAACCGAAGAAGUGCAUCGGAAACUGGGAAACUUGAGUGCAGAAGAGGACAGUGGAACUCCAUGUGUAGCGGUGAAAUGCGUAGAUAUAUGGAAGAACACCAGUGGCGAAGGCGGCUGCCUGGUCUGUAACUGACGCUGAGGCUCGAAAGUAUGGGUAGC